GGGACAACAGCCAGAAAUGGCUGCUAAUACCGCAUAAGCCUGCGGUGCCGCAUGGCACAGCAGGGAAAACCACGGUGGUACAGGAUGGGCCCGCGUCUGAUUAGUUAGUUGGCAGGGUAACGGCCUACCAAGACGAUGAUCAGCAGCCGGCUUGAGAGAGUGGACGGCCACAUUGGGACUGAGACACGGCCCAGACUCCUGCGGGAGGCAGCAGUGGGGAAUAUUGCACAAUGGGGGGAACCCUGAUGCAGCAAUGCCGCGUGGGUGAAGAAGCACUCCGGUGCGUAAAGCCCUGUCAGCAGGGAAGAAAAUGACAGUACCUGACCAAGAAGCCCCGGCUAACUACGUGCCAGCAGCCGCGGUAAUACGUAGGGGGCAAGCGUUAUCCGGAUUUACUGGGUGUAAAGGGAGCGCAGGUGGUAUGGCAAGUCAGAUGUGAAAACCCAGGGCUCAACCCUGGGACUGCAUUUGAAACUGCCAUACUGGAGUGCCGGAGAGGUAAGUGGAAUUCCUAGUGUAGCGGUGAAAUGCGUAGAUAUUAGGAGGAACACCAGUGGCGAAGGCGGCUUACUGGACGGUAACUGACGCUGAGGCUCGAAAGCGUGGGGAGCAAACAGGAUUAGAUACCCUGGUAGUCCACGCUGUAAACGAUGAAUACUAGGUGUCGGGGUACAUAAGUACCUCGGUGUCGCAG
rnacentral:rRNA from 1 species